rnacentral:piRNA from 1 species
UGCUCUUCCUUCUCCUUGAGCUUCAUGUGU